UACGUAGGGUGCAAGCGUUAAUCGGAAUUACUGGGCGUAAAGCGUGCGCAGGCGGUUCUAUAAGACAGAUGUGAAAUCCCCGGGCUCAACCUGGGAACUGCAUUUGUGACUGUAGAGCUGGAGUGCGGCAGAGGGGGAUGGAAUUCCGCGUGUAGCAGUGAAAUGCGUAGAUAUCUGGAGGAACACCGGUGGCGAAGGCGGCAUCCUGGACCGAUAUUGACGCUGAUGCGCGAAAGCCAGGGGAGCAAACGGG
rnacentral:rRNA from 1 species